CGAACUGGUUCUCUGAGGCCCUGGUUCAUCUGUCACAACUGACAGUUUGAGCCAAAUAAAUAUUGCGCUCUAAACUUAAUAUUCCAUAGAAUUGAAUCGAAGAUGAACAAAUUGAAGCCAUUGAGUUGGGCUGUUGUUUGAUUAAUUGUGCACACGUCGCGUGUGCUCUCGUGCUGGGUAAAAAACGAGAUGGCUCCAUCAUACUUUAAGGCCGGGACAGCAGAUGAAUACAAUUGCAUUUUGACCGCAGAACGACAGCUUCUGACCUAAAAAAGAAAGCGAUUGGCAGGUGCGCAAAACGAAUGUUAAGGCUCAAAGGCAACAGAAUACAAAACUGUACACAAUAUUGUGUAAACAUGGCUUACUAUAAAAAUAGUACGAUUAAAGUUGGGAAAUGGCUACUUAGAAAAAGUACAUGGAAUAAAAGUGAUGGAGAAAUACUUUUAAAAAAUACAGAAAGUGCUAUCAGGACUACAUCGAUUUCAUUAAAAUUGAAUUACACUUUAUGCCAUUUCUUUAGGUAACCGUUUUCAUAGCAUGUAACUCAGCCAAUGCGAGACACCCCAAGAAAGGGUAGAUGAACUUAAGACCUCCCACUAGGAGAUGCAACUACCACAACAUCGAUUUGCAUUCGGCUCGUAAAGGUAAAUUUCGGUUCAACUUUCUGUCGGCGAAUGGAAAAUGCAAUCGACAAGCGUUUUGAAAGGCAAGAAACUGCUUUUGUGAGCAGUCAAAAGGCAGCAAUAAAAUUACUUGCGUCACACAACGAGCUGGGAUUUGAAAUCGAAUUGCACGCAGAGAUAAAAAAAUGCCAGGAACACACACUAUUAUAUAGAACGUACAUAUGAGCGUGCUGGAGAUUGCGGAUGUAAAGUCCUGAUUAAAGAAUUUUGCUUUCAGCUCAAUUUGCAUUUGCUGGCCAAUCUGCUGAAGAAUGGAAUUAGAGGAUUUUUUGGAUUCCGGCAUUUCCUGCAGCUAAAUUCCAGUGCUUUGUUAUAUAAUACGGGUAGCAUUUUCUUUUUUAAAAAAGUUUUUACAAUUUUUACCAGGAUUACAGUAAAUUUCUACCAUUCUUACCGAGAAUCUCGAAAUAUAUUCAUGAAAUAGAAAUCAUUUAAAGUUGUA